AUUACACCAAUUAAGUUAAUUCAGUUAAAUUGACAUUAAUGUAGUUUGGUGAUAUGACGAAGAAGUUUUUAUUUUGGAAAAUGAUAUGUAGACAACAGAUUCAGACAACAUUUAGACACGCCACAGGUGUCACACAACCAUUGGUCCACGUGGCAAGGAGAGAGAAAUCUGUUGCUUUCUGAAGAUUGCCUCAGAUCUUGACGCGUGGCAGAGAGAGGAAAGUGAAUUUGGUUCUGAAAUUUGAAUCUGUGUAGGGUUUUCGUUUCAAAUUUGGGAUUCCCAUUUUCGAACCCCUCCCAUUUCGUCACACCCAUUUCGAACUCCUUCCAUUUCGUCACCAACCUCGGACCAUCUCCUGCUCGCCGGAAAGACUGCCGCCGCAGUCCGGUUGUCCGUCACCGUCCGCAUCACCGCCGGGAAGCUUCGCUUCCAUUUGGUUGAAGGUAAAUCCCCUAAACCCUAGUCCUGGUGAGUUGGUUGGGUACCAUUUUGAGUUUGUCGAUUUGGUUUUUUGAGUUGUGCUUAAUGUUUUUUGAGGCAUGUGCUUAAUGCAAAAAUUUUGUUUUCAUGUUNUUUGUGUUCUCUGUUUCGUGAAUGUUGGGGUUUGAUUCAACACGCACCUUGUAAUGUUAUAUUAUUUUGGUUUGAUAAGACAAUGAACCCCUCUAUGCAAAACUCGUAACACAAGUACCCACUUAUUCGAACUAUAGUCCCAGUUGAUUUUAUAAAAUUACUUAUGUUGUUUAACAUGAUAAGUUGGGGGCUUGGGUUCAUAU
rnacentral:lncRNA from 1 species